CUGUCCUCCGAAGGUGCUGCAACAAAAUACCCAGAUAUGCGAGCAUGCCUAUUGGGGUACAAAACCGUGUGGGAUUGGCAAGGAAAGAGAUCUCUUGACUUACAAUGAGAAGCAAGUCUGAUUUAGUGGCAGUCUGAUGCCAGUCUGGGGCGCACAGCAUUGCACUCCAGCAUUCGCACGGAUGGGGGCACAACCCAAACCGGAUCCCCGCAUCUGGGAAACCGGACAACCCAACACCGCAACAAGGUCGUCUUAGUACCCAACAGAGGCCGGAAAACCCUGAAUCACUGUCACGGGUACUGGUGCCAGGGUCGAAUAACUGUAUGGAAAUUUUUUUGGUAAAAGCCGAGGAAAGAGUGUCAAACUUACUACGUUACACCAUCACUGUUAAAGCGACAGUUGUCUUGUUGCGCCCAAUUAUUGCGCAAACCUGCCUUUUGGGGGGAAUUUCUGCACCCUGCCGUACGGCUGCCGUACCAGCGAUGAUGAAUUUCUGCAACGGGUACAACGGAAGGACCCGCUUUACCAGCGGCGUUUGCCGACCCCUGCUACCCAACAUCAGGGUAAGAAAGUCAUCGAGCCAAGGGUCCUGCGAAUGCAAUCACUAACCCUGAAAUCAUACCGGAAUGCCCGGCGUCGCUUGACAGUUCGCAUGAAUCACAUUCAUUCUUCCGCCGUACCGCAAGCGCGAGAAGUGCGGAACCAGAUUCCUCCUAUCCGCG
rnacentral:lncRNA from 1 species